CUGCUGAAGCUCACACCUACUGCUUGUGACACUUCCAAGUCUGUCGGUAAAUGCCUUCCGUGCUUCUCUUUUCAAUCUGUUGAUGGAAAUGUUCACAACAGCAUGUCGGACAAUCCAGACAUGCUAGGAAAAGAGAAGCGGUUUCUAUGUGGUGCCUGGACGGCGUCCAAGGCACAACAGAGAAAAGACACUGAACAAGCACCAAAAUUGAAGUUUAAUAGGGUGGGGGUCUCUGCAAAAAUGGAGGAGAUCACAGAGCACCUCAAGUAUGUAUGUGCUAAGGUCUCCAACGUUCUUAACCUAGAGUUCAUGGGCACUAGUCGUAUCACUAGAAAAGACCUUGCUAACAAACGGCCUAUAACCACCCCAGAAAUUACAGAACCUCAAUUAUAUGGGAGAGAACAACAAAAGAAAAUAAUAUAUGACAUUAUUGACCGUGGUAACUCUUCUGCUGAUAAUGAUCUAGUUGUGCUUCCGAUUCUUGGUCCUGGAGGCAUUGGAAAGACAACUUUUACACAGCAUGUAUAUGAAGAAGUGAAGUGCAAUUUUGAGGUCACAAUUUGGGUAUGUGUCUCCCUCAAUUUUAGUGCUGGUAGGUUGGCGCAAGAAGCCGUGAAAAAAAUUCCUAAAGUUGGCAAUGAAAAGGAAAAUAGCAGUGUGGAAGAGCUAAUCGAACAAAGAUUGAAAGCUAAGCGGUUUUUGCUUGUACUAGAUGAUAUGUGGGCAUGCCAUGAGGAUGAAUGGAAAAAAUUGUUAGCGCCAUUUCGAAGAGGGGGAGGAAAAGGUAGUAUGGUAAUAGUGACCACUCGGAUUCCUAAGGUGGCAGAAAUGGUUACUAAGACAGUUCACUGUCCAAUAAUAGAAAUGGAGCGCUUAGAGGGUGAAGAUUUUAUGCACUUUUUUGAAGCUUGCAUAUUUGGUGGUCAGCAGCCAUGGGAAGGUCCCACAGCCUUAUUACGUGAGGUUGGGGAAAAUAUAGUGAGCAAAUUGAAAGGCUUUCCUCUUGCAGCAAAAACUGUAGGAAGAUUACUAAGAAACCAACUUACUUUCGAACACUAGACUAAAGUUCUAGAUAGCAAAGAAUGGGAAUUCCAAACCAAUGAUGAUAAUGACAUUAUGCCUGCAUUAAAACUUAGCUAUGAUUAUCUUCCUUUCCAUCUGCAACAAUGCUUUUACUAUUGUGCUUUGUUUCCUGAAGACUAUGAAUUUGACAGUAAAGAAUUAGUUCUCUUGUGGAUAGGACUAGAUAUUGUUCAUCCAUGUGAUGAUGUAAACCAAACAGUUGAAGAAACUGGACAGAGAUAUUUAGAUGACUUGGUUAAUCAUGGUUUUUUCAAAAAAUCUUUAGGAAAUGAUGGUUGUGAUUAUUAUGUUGUCCAUGACCUACUACAUAAUUUGGCUGUGAAUAUUUCGUCAUUUGAAUGUCUCAGCAUAUGUAGCUCCAACGUGAAGUCAAUACAUAUUCGCCAAGAUAUACGUCACUUGUCUAUCAUCAUAGAUGACAAGGAUGUUGAGGACAUCAAGACUUUCAAGUACUAUAAAAAUGACUUGAGUACACUUGAUAAAAGAUUAAAUGUUGAAAACCUACGUACCUUGAUGGUGUUUGGAGGACACCAAGAAAGCUUUGCCAAGAUGUUUUGUGAUUUAUUUGAGAAACCUAGAGCCCUUCGUGCUAUUUAUUUAUCUGGAGUAUCGUCAUAUACUAUGGAGGAUAUGUUGCAUGAGUUCCCAAAGCAUAUUCAUCUUUGCUACCUAAGGAUUAAAUUGGCUGAUGACACGGAAGACAUAGACUUUGAUCUUAGUGCCCUAACUAGACUUUAUCAUUUAGAGAUCCUAGAUAUGCAAAAAUGCAAAGGUCGCUAUGGUUUCACAAGACAUAUUAGCAACCUUGCAAAGUUGCGACACUUUCUGGUGCCACAAGAUGAACUUCAACUUCAUUCCAACAUAGUUGAGGUGGGGAAACUAAAACUAUUGCAAGAGUUAAGGAGCUUUGAAGUUGGAAGAGAAACUAAGGGUUUUGAACUAAGUCAGCUUGGGAAAUUGUCAGAACUUGGAGGCUCACUUUCCAUUUGUAGUCUUGAAAGGAUACGAGCGAUAGAGGAUGCACAUGAGGCCAGAUUGACACAAAUAAAACAUUUGCACAAGCUAACACUAGAAUGGGAUGCCAAUCGAUCUGAAAAAAAUACUACACAUGAAGAAAAUAUACUGGAGAUUCUUACACCAUGUAGCAAUCUUAAAGACCUUUGCAUUAGAGGCCAUGGAGGCACCAAAUGCCCAAAAUGGCUAGGUGAGGACCUCUCUGUCAAAAAUCUGGAAUCCCUUCAUCUAGAUGGCGUAGCUUGGAAUACAUUUCCACCCAUAGGAGAGUUGUGGCUAGUUAAUGGACCUCACCAAGAAAUUUCAAGUAAUAUCCACCAUGAAAAGUUUCACAAUUUGAGGAGGUUGGAGCUAGUUAAUCUACCAAGGUUGAAAAACUGGGUCGUCAGUGCACCUUGUCAUUUGUUUGCUCACUUGGAAGUGCUUAUCAUUAGGGAUUGCUUUGAACUAACCGAUAUCUCAUUUUCACAUUCUACUUGCUGUCAACGAGAGAGAGAGGAAGAGGCCAACAUGAAUUGGUUUCCUCGUGGUCUACAAGAGCUUGACAUUGAAAGUUGUCCAAAACUGUUGUCCGUUCCUCCUGUUCCUUGGACCAGUACUUUGUGCUCUACUAAGAUAAAAGGAGUUGCUUUGGGUUUUGAGAAUUUAGUUUGUAAAGCAAACAAAAAGUGGGGAUAUUGCUUGAACAUUAAAGCAACUGUUGCUUUAGAUGAUGGCACAUUCUGGAACGUGUUAGCCUUUGAUAAUCUAAUGGAACUAAAACGGUUGGAGAUGGACACAUGCCCUCCUCUCCCACUGCAUCACUCCAAGUGCUAUCGUCCCUAAAGACCCUCGAGCUAUAUGGUGGUUCAAGUAUUGUCCUCCCGUCGGUCGAAGGUGUGAGCCAUGCCGAAUAUGAAUUCCCAGUUGAAUGCGUAACCAUUGGCAGGUGGAAUGCUAGUGCAAAGGAAUUGACGCAGCUACUGACUUAUUUUCCUGAGCUAUCUGAACUGAACAUGCGGUCAUGUGAUCAGAUUACAGGGCUAGCUGUAGUGGAGAAGCGGACAGCAGAAACACCCGCACCAGAAUCUUCAGAUAAUAAUAAAGUGGACGACCAGCAGCAGGAUGGCACAAGAGGGGAGGAGGAAAUAGCCACAUCAUCAGCGGAAGGGCUGCUGCUCUUGCCUUCCCAACUACAGACACUGCGGAUCCUAUACUGCCGAAAGCUAAGCCUCUGCUCCAAUUCAAUCGACCACAACAGAGAAUCAGGACGACCUGGUGGAGGACAAGGGCUCCAAGGUCUAUGCUUCCUCCGAUCCUUGCAGAUAAUCUAUUGCCCCAGGUUUCUCUGCUCCUAUUCGUCAUCCUCCUCUUCUUCGUGGUUCCCCUUCCCAACCUCCCUGGAACGCCUCUGUCUUUUGGGCGCGGUGGGCACAGCAACCCCGUUGCCUCUCUCAAACCUCGCCUCUCUCACAGAUUUAACCAUAUGGGAAUGUGGGGAUUUAAGAGGUGAGGGACUGCGGCAUCUCCUCGCCCAAGGUCGUCUCACCAUAUUAUCCGUCCGUGGAACCCCCAAUUUCUGGGCUGGUCCCGAACCCCCGCUGCCCCAUGAACAAGAGUUCUCAUCCUCUUCCUCCAAACUGCAGAAGCUUGAGACAGAUGACGUGGCGGGCGUCCUUGCUGCGCCCAUCUGUACCUUGCUCUCUUCCUCGCUCACCGAAUUGACAUUUCACGACGACAAAGAGGUGGAGCGCUUCACAAAGGAGCAAGAGGACGCCCUUCAGCUCCUCACCUCUCUCGAGAUCACAUUUUGGGACUGCGACAAGCUCCAGUGCCUCCCUGCUGGGCUUCAUGGACUCCCCAACCUCAAGAAAUUAAACAUAUAUAGUUGUCCAACCAUCCGAUCGCUGCCCAAGGAUGGCCUCCCAAGUUCACUGCAAGUGUUAGUGAUAGACGACUGUCCAGCCAUCCAGUCUCUACCUAAGGACUGCCUCCCAACUUCACUGCAAAAAUUAGAGAUCCAUAGCUGCCCAGCCAUCCGGUCUCUGCCCAAGGAUGGCCUCCCAAUUUCACUGCAAAAAUUGGAGAUCGAUGACUGCCCAAACAUUCGAUCACUGCCCAAGGUGAAUGACCUUCCAAGUUCAUUGCGAGAAUUGAAUGUCCAACGUAGCAAAAGCGAGGAGCUAAGAAGGCAGUGCCGCAAGUUGAUUGGAAUCAUUCCAGUUGUCUACGCCUGACUAAGCCAAGGUAACAAAGAGGUGGAACUUCCUGCCCACCAAUUUCGCUUGCAUUCUUUAAUCCCAUAUAAAAGUAAGUCGUUCUCCUUUUGUUUAUUUGAACUGCAAUAAUGGUUUCCUUCCAAAUAACCCAUUUGUUUUCACCUACUGUGCAGGUGUUAGAAUGUCUAAUUUCCUUGAUUGGGCUAACCCUAACCAGGGUGGCCAUAUAGUUAGGGAUAGGCUCAUAGGCCUAGCCUCAUGGGCCUAGCCUCAUGGGCCAAAUACUCAUAUACUCUAACAUCCCCCCGCAGUCUGAACUACCGUCGCAGCGGAGUUUGCAGACUGGACACGAAAGAAAAGAGGUACAACACACGAGCCCCCCCCCCCCCCACAGACACAACUAGCCACUGGUAAUGUUGAGGCUGGUGCGGAACUCGGUGAAGGUCGAGAACGGGAGACCCUUGGUGAAGAUGUCGGCGAACCGGGAGGUGGUCGGGACGUGGAGGACCCGAACAUCGCCGACAGCGACCCGGUCCCGGACGAAGUGUAGAUCGAUCUCCACAUGCUUGGUCCUCUGGUGUUGGACCGGGUUGGUGGAGAGGUAGCUGCAUCUGCUGCGCGAUUUGCGCCCAGGAAGAGGUUGGGAGAGGAGGGAAGUGGUUGAAGUAGAAAGGAGGAGGAGGAGGAUCAGGCCGGCCGGCCAAAGGUGGCGGCGGCUGGGGUGGGCAGGGGAGCAGGGGAGGAAGAAACUCUAAGCUGAUACCAUGUUAGAUAAUUUUCUUGAUUGGGCUAACCCUAACCAGGGUGGCCAUAUAGUUAGGGAUACAUGGGCCUCAUGGGCCAAAUACUCAUAUACUCUAACAGCAGGGCUCUUUCUCAAAUUGUACAUUCUUCUAACCUGAGGAUUCUCACUUUAUCUACACAUGAUUCUGAGUUGUCAAGCAUUAUCAUCUCAGGAAGUACCUAACACCCUGUACAGAAAACUGGUUAGUAUCCUAUAUGCAAAAUUGGUUAGUCCCAUACAAUAUUUACAAGUUCAAUCCAUAUUUUGUUAAUCUACUGCCUGUUGCUUUUGCUAUUUGGUUGCCUUUUGUUUAUAAUCAUCAUGUAGUUCGAACUUCGGAACAUUUGUAUUAGAGUUGAGAAAACACAACAUACUGAAGUGUUAGUUUAGCUGUUUUGGAAUGCCUCACAGCUUGCAAAACAUGCUACACCUAAUUUCAAGUUGUCUUGGGGUCACUGCUACAGAAAUAAGUACCUGUUAGUUUAUUUGUUCACUCUCGAUCUAUUUAUUUGUUUUGACAGUUCACUAGAAUAGUUUCUUAGAUUGUCGAACCUUGUUUUACUACUUGCCUUUUGCAUCCUUAUGUUAACUACAACAGUAAUUACUUCUGAAAUCUGAUGUCCUAAUUUCGUUGCGCAAUACUGGGCUGAUUUGUUGUACCAUCAAAAUAAUUUACCAUUUGCUUUGUUGUAUUCCAAGUUAGUGUAACUGUUGGGGUUUGAUGAACUUAAUGUCUGUAUGUAUUCUCACUUUCUCACUCCUUCCUUAAUUGAGAGGCAGAGCUCCUGCCAUUCCUUCAAAAACAAAAUGUAUUCUCACUUUCUCAGUAUAUGCAGGAUUCUUAUUCUGAUUACAUAGUGGUGAAUGGGGCUAACCUCGAAUACUACCAUAAUGCCACUACCUUUUGUAGAUCAUCUCCAUCGGAUCCUCCUAACUGAUAUAAUAUAACUCUGAGAUCAGAUUAUAGUAGUGCAAGGUAAUUGCUCUUUGUUGUUUCCUAAUCACGUGAGCAUUAAGCCAUUUUUACAAAUACUAUGUGCCUAUGUUCUACAAGUGCUCCUUGACACGAACCCUGCUUAUUUUAACCUGCAGUGCACAAGGGUUCAUCAAUUCUUUGAGCUGUACAUCGUAUAAUCUUGUUGGAUCUUUCUGAAAACACUGUUGCACUCUAGGGAAUUGAAUGUGUGUUCUGUUUGUUAGAAAAUGCUUUUGCCAAAGGUAAUUAUACUAUGCAUGCUAGUUUUAAUGUUACCCGUGGGCAAAAAAUAGUGAGGUUGGAAUUAUUUGUGCUAUUUUGGCUGUUCAGAAGAUUGUUGUGUGCCCACGUUUGAGACUAUAUAAAUGAUGCAACAUAACAAGAUAUUUCUUCUCAAAGGAUGAGGAUGAUUUUGAGGGCAAUAGCUGAAGAUGUUGAACUGAGCUUUUUUCUAAAGGAAAAACUGAAUGUUCUUCCAUCCGUUUUAAAGAAAAUCAUCGUCCAUAUUUCUACAAAUCACAGCAACAAUAACAAGGAUACGUAUGCACUAUGUCCUGGUAGCAGAUUGCUAACUAGGAUGCAUUGUAUAGUCCUGAUCAGCCAACUAAAGAUCAGAAAGUAACAUCUAUGCUGCUCAACUGCACGUGCAAAUAUGGGUAUCUUGUGAUAUAACUAUAAGUGCUUGGCUGUUUCAUGAAGUUAUUGUUUACAUCAGUUUUGUAGAGCAUGAGCAUAUCCUUUGAAGGUUGAACCCCAAAUGCGGCCAUGGAACAUAUAUGUGUGCAAAAGUUAUGGUAAUGAAGGCAAUAUUCUGUUACUGCAACAGCCAAAAUGAUUAUUGUUAAGUGCAUGCAACUUUAUCUGCUAAGUCCUCAAGUAUGAAGUCUUCAACUACAUGUUGCAUAUUAUUUCCUAAGCCUGCUGUCAACAGACCUAAUGUUCUGGACUCUUGCCUACAGGCUACGGCCUUUUACAUGGAUGAUCUGGUAAACUAAAAAUACCUCAAAGUUCAGCUUCUUGAGCUCGUGGGGCCUUCAUAUGAAAAAUAGAAUUUGGUAAGUCCCUCGAGUAUACUAAAUUAUGCUUUAGUUCCUUCUUUUUCCUUUUUGUUAUGGACUAUUCUGAAAUGUUUACUUCGGUGAAGUGGUGAACACUUACAUUACAUCUUUAUUGAUAUUUUUGCCACAAGAUGUAAUGAGAAAGGUAGUGGCAGAAAUGUGCAGUGUUUGGUAUUCUGAAAACAUGUUAAAUCAGUUCAAGAUGUUGAGACACAAUCGAAUUAUAAAUGUUUUCAUGUGAGGCCAUCCCAAAUGAUGCAGAUAUCAUUCAAUUCAUGCUGUUGCUUAGUAAAUUACCGAGCCGCUAUGAAAUGUCCAUGAUAAUAGCAUGCAUCACUUCAGUAUUUUCUAAUUGUGUGUAACUUGUUCCCUUUAGUAAAUUUGCUAUCCUGGUGAAAAAUGAAAUGCUACCUUUGGACACUCUUUUUUAUUUAUUAGAUUAUAAAGGAGAUGUACAUAUCUGACAUGGUUUUUGCAGAUAAUAAACUGUUAUUCUGUUAAUUGGCAAGCUCUAGUGCACAAGUAAUUUUAAUUCUCAUUAUUAUGCUAUAAGAACUUGUUUCCUUAUACUUUGUUUCAUUUAUUAUAGUGUAAUGGAAAUUUUCUUCACAGAUUUCUUCUUUUCUUUCUUCAUGCAGCAAACAUUGAUGGAAAAGAUAAAUAAGAAGAUCUACAAGUGCCAUUCUUUUUUGAAAAAAUACAAGCGCCAUUCUCAAUCAGUUUAGUUAGCAUUACAGAUAGUUAGAUAUCAUAGUUAUGUUUUUCUUUUUACCAUGAAUUAUGUUUUUACUUGUCAUGCUUUCCAUGGCUCAGGAGCACAACUUCUUUUUCUGCUGGACCACAAGCUAUCCUGCUCAAGUGUGAAAUGCAAGCUUGCCUAACUAUUGCUGACAACAGUGUAAGAGCUUCACUUUUGUCGAUCUUCGGAAUUCAUUUACAAAAGGCAGCUACUGUGAAAAGUCUCCUAAUGUUCCUCUGGUUUCUAGAUCAAACAUUGCAUGGCAGCAGUAUUGGCAUGAAGGUUUGGUUGAAUCAACGGGGGUUCUGGCACUUAAGAAGUCAACAAGAAACUACUACUCUAUUCAUCGGAGCAAUUUCAGAUAUUCCUGCUUGGGUCCUACUCGUUCUAUGAUCUACCUGUUGAUUGGCAGGUCCGGCCAGUGCCGUCUUAAGCAGCUGUGAACCAAGUGCUCCUUCACAAUGCACUCAUCUAGUUCAACAGAAUAGCUGCAUGAAAUCGAUGGUGCUCACACCCGCAAGCACUCAUUCCGUAUGAGGUGAGAGAUACACUUUUCUCAGGCCCUUUUGUGAUGUCAGUAGACAUUAUAAAUGCCGUGUUUUUUUCUGGGGAGAAAUAUUGAUCAAGCUUUUUUUCCUUGUUGAUCUCUUUUGCAGGAAUUAUGUCCCAAAUCUUGCCAAGAUUACAGUUAUCUUCAGAAUCAAUCGCUACUGUACAUCAUUUGGUUUGAUGUUGAGCAAGGUUUGCAGCAUUCGUCAGGUUCUUGCCAACGCAAGGAUGGCAGGACGAAGCUAAGUUGAAGAUUCUGGCAAAAUCGACCAGGGCAUUAUUGUACUUGUGGACAUCCAACAUCCUCAAAAACUCAGAGCAUGCUUUAGAGAUUAGGGAAGGGGGUCUAACGAUCUACUGCUGUUUGAGACCUCUAAUGUUAUUAGCUGGAUUGUUUUCAGUAAUACUUAUGGUUGUGCACUGAUAUGUUGCCGAGAGUAUUUUGGCAAUCGCUCUGAAAAUGGAAAGACCACCGUUUAUGUACUUUGUGAUGAUUUUGGCAAAAAGAAAACAAAAAAAAUGUUUAAACGAUAUUGUUUCUUACAGUACAUUUUAAAAAUUAACCAUCAGGUGAAACAUAUCAUCCAAUCAAAUUGCUGGGUAAAUUUUGACAUUUUUUUCCCCACCUCUUUGCUAAUAAGGCUGGAUACGGUGUUUAAAAUUUCAAACUAUAAUAUUUUCAAAAUAUUUUGUCAACUGUUUUAGAAACUUUACUACGUGCAUACAAAUGAAAAAAAAAAAGGUCUCUCCACGAUUUAUAACAUAACAAAAAGAAAAAUAGUGAAGGAAAAAAGAAGGAAUACCUAGAGAAAGGAGGCCCUCUUCUUCUCAAACCCAAUCCGUCAAGUCGUCUUGUGGGCCCAGGCUUCGCAGGACCUCGCCGCCGGCGAUGGCAGCUUCGAUUCCCUUCUCCGCUCGCUCUCUGCGGCCUCACGGGACUCUGCUGCAGCCGCCGAACCCAACCUCCUCAGAUCCGUAACAGCAUCUCCCUUCCAUCCCCUCUACAAAUCUCCUGCUGUACACGAGCAUUCCUAGGAUUGCUCUAGAAGGCGAGGGCGUGCGAGAUGGGAAAAAGAAAAGAAAAAGCUUUGUUAAAUUAAAAAGAAAAAAAAAGUCUAGUACAUGGGCCGGGCGCAGCUAAUAAGGCCGUCCACAGAGAAAGGAGGCCUUCUUCUCUAACCCCAGCGAGAAGACGCGACACGACGGCGACGGCCAUGGCUUCGCCGGAGCUCGCCGCCGGCGACGGCAGCUACGACUUCCACCUCCGCUCGCUCUCCGCGGCCUCACGGG
rnacentral:lncRNA from 1 species